rnacentral:rRNA from 1 species
GAACGCUGGCGGCAUGCCUUACACAUGCAAGUCGAACGGCAGCACGGGAGCAAUCCUGGUGGCGAGUGGCGAACGGGUGAGUAAUAUAUCGGAACGUGCCCAGUCGUGGGGGAUAACUACUCGAAAGAGUGGCUAAUACCGCAUACGAUCUCUGGAUGAAAGCGGGGGACCUUCGGGCCUCGCGCGAUUGGAGCGGCCGAUAUCAGAUUAGGUAGUUGGUAGGGUAAAAGCCUACCAAGCCUGCGAUCUGUAGCUGGUCUGAGAGGACGACCAGCCACACUGGAACUGAGACACGGUCCAGACUCCUACGGGAGGCAGCAGUGGGGAAUUUUGGACAAUGGGCGAAAGCCUGAUCCAGCAAUGCCGCGUGCAGGACGAAGGCCUUCGGGUUGUAAACUGCUUUUGUACGGAACGAAAAGGUAGCUCCUAAUACGAGCUGCUGAUGACGGUACCGUAAGAAUAAGCACCGGCUAACUACGUG